GCCCUAGUAACGGCGAGUGAAGCGGCAACAGCUCAAAUUUGAAAUCUGGCGCAAGCCCGAGUUGUAAUUUGCAGAGGAUGCUUCGGGGCAGCGGCCGGUCUAAGUUCCUUGGAACAGGACGUCAUAGAGGGUGAGAAUCCCGUAUGCGACCGGUUGGCACCCCUUACGUAGCUCCUUCGACGAGUCGAGUUGUUUGGGAAUGCAGCUCUAAAUGGGAGGUAAAUUUCUUCUAAAGCUAAAUACCGGCCAGAGACCGAUAGCGCACAAGUAGAGUGAUCGAAAGAUGAAAAGCACUUUGGAAAGAGAGUUAAAAAGCACGUGAAAUUGUUGAAAGGGAAGCGCAAGCAACCAGACUUGUCGGCGGUGUUCCGCCGGUCUUCUGACCGGUCUACUCGCCGCCGGCAGGCCAGCAUCACUUGGGACCGCCGGAUAAAGGCCCGGGAAUGUAGCUCCUCGGAGUGUUAUAGCCCGGCGCACAAUACGGCGCGCCCCGAGUGAGGUCCGCGCUUCGGCUAGGAUGCUGGCGUAAUGGUCGUUUGCGGCCCGUCUUGAAACACGGACCAAGGAGUCUAACAUCUAUGCGAGUGUUCGGGUGUCAAACCCCUACGCGUAAUGAAAGUGAACGGAGGUGGGAACUUUAUUGUGCACCAUCGACCGAUCCUGAUGUUUAUUGUGCACCAUCGACCGAUCCUGAUGUCUUCGGAUGGAUUUGAGUAUGAGCAUAGCUGUUGGGACCCGAAAGAUGGUGAACUAUGCCUGAAUAGGGUGAAGCCAGAGGAAACUCUGGUG
rnacentral:rRNA from 1 species